ACUUGCUUCAGCAACACAUAUGUACUAAAAUUGGAACAACACAGAGGAGAUUAGCAUCCCUGAACAAAGGUGACACAGAAAUUUGUGCAUUGUUUUAUCUUAAG